CACAGCAGCCCGGGAAGUAACGGUCGCUCUGUCUCGUCUGGGAAGAUCUCCGUUGCCAGGGCUUGCUGGACCCGCCCCCGCACAGCUUCCCAGCAGUCCCGAUUCCGCCUGAGGCUCCAGAAGGCGAAGCUGUACAGGAGGCCACUUUUCUUCUCAGCCUAGAACUCGAGAGACCUGAAAGGAAGGACGACUGGCCACAGGAGAUGUUUCACAGAGCCGCUGAAUGAACAACACAGUCAAUUCUGAUCAACUUUCCAGUGCUAUCUGGGUGUAAGUGAGUGGCCCUGGAGGUGGGUGCCUCUCCCCGGCGCAGUUUUUCCUUCCAUCACAAGCAUGGCUGAAGCUGGGUGGUGGUGCAUACAGAUUCCAGCCAGCAAGGAGGGGAAAGAGAGUUCAGAGGACUCACCUCCACUGUCCCCGACCCAGGCCUGUAGCAUCUAUAUUGGCUCCUCUCAGGUUCCACAGAAUUCCUCAAGAUGACUGAGGUUGGUCCCUGAAGAAACCAAAUUCAGUGUAAGAAAACCAACAUCACAAAGAGGUAAGGAGAUUUUAAAUGCUGAAGAGGACAUGUAACAACAUGAAAGAGCUUUGAAGUCCAUCUAAUCCAUGAGUGUUGGGGGUGAGAGGAGGAAGGAAUGAACCCG
rnacentral:lncRNA from 10 species